rnacentral:misc_RNA from 1 species
GGGCAAUAGGAACCUAGUGGGCAAGGUAUCAUGCAUGUAAUACCAUGAGGACAGAAAAAACCCUCACAACAAGUCUGACAGUUGCGAGAUCUUGCAGGAAUGUUAUGUGAAUUUUCAAGNNNNNNNUGACCAACGCUGCAAGCCCAUCCUGGCUCACAACCAGAAACCCAUGAGGUUAAAUUGCAGUUCUUGUUAGGUUUCAAAUAAUUGUCAUGUGUUG